UGAUCAGCAUGCCGCGUGAGUGAGACGGCCCUAGGGUUGUAAAGCUCUUUCUAUUGUGAGAAAUGACUGUACUAGUACCUGAUUGCCGGGACAUUACCAUGACAGAACGCCCCGGUCAACGCCGGGCCCCCCGGCACUACGGAAGUGCCGGUCCUAGCGCGGAUCCAUUGGGUUGAAAGGGUCCGUAGGGGAAGUGGUUUGUUCAACCUGAAGUGAAACCCCUCGGCUCAACCUUUGAAUUUCAUCUGAUACUGCUUGACUUAAGUACAAUUGAGUGGAGUGGAAUUUGCAGUGUAGCGGUGAAAUGCUUUUACAUCGAAAAGAACAUCCGUAGCGAAAGCAACUCCCUGGAUUGGAACUGACACUACGGAGCCAAGGCGUGGGAACCGGAUUAGAUAACAUACCCUGCCACUCCGCGCCGUAUGAUAUGUCUACUGUUCGUUGGUAAACUUGAUGUCUUACCGGCGCGGCUAACGCGUCCAGUUGACCGCCUGGGGAGUACGGGCGCAACAUUAAGCUCUGAGGGGUUGACGG
rnacentral:rRNA from 1 species